rnacentral:rRNA from 1 species
GACGAACGCUGGCGGCGUGCCUAAUACAUGCAAGUAGGACGCAGUUGCGAACGGGUGAGUAACGCGUAGGUAACUACCUAUUAGAGGGGGAUAACUAUUGGAAAAGAUAGCUAAUACCGCAUACUAGUAGAUGGACCUGCGUUGUAUUAGCUAGUAGGUAGGGUAAUGGCCUACCUAGGCAACGAUACAUAGCCGACUUGAGAAGGGGAUCGGACAAGCUGGGAGUGAGACACGACCCAGACACCUACGAGAGGCAGCAGUAGGGAAUCUUCGGCAAUGGGAGGAACCCUGACCGAGCAACGCCGCGAUAGUGAGGAAGAUUUUAGGAGCGUAAGGCGCUGUUGUUAAGGAAGCGGUACUUAACCAGAAAGGGACGGCUAACUACGUGCCAGCAGCCGCGGUAAUUC